GGCGGCGUGCCUAACACAUGCAAGUCGAACGGAGUUAAGUUUAACACCGAACACUUAGUUUGGUGGAAAGACAACACAGGAUGAAGUAAGUAGUCGGUGUUGAACUUAAUUUAGUGGCGGACGGGUGAGUAACGCGUGAGUAACCUGCCUUUCAGAGGGGGAUAACGUCUGGAAACGGACGCUAAUACCGCAUAACAUAUCGGGGUCACAUGGCCCUGAUAUCAAAGGAGCAAUCUGCUGAAAGAUGGACUCGCUGUCCGAUUAGCUAGUUGGUGAGAUAAAGGCCCACCAAGGCGACGAUCGGUAGCCGGACUGAGAGGUUGAACGGCCACAUUGGGACUGAGACACGGCCCAGACUCCUACGGGAGGCAGCAGCGGGGGAUAUUGCACAAUGGAGGAAACUCUAAUGCAGCAACGCCGCGUGAGGGAAGACGGUUUUCGGAUUGUAAACCUCUGUCCUUGGUGAAGAUAAUGACGGUAGCCAAGGAGGAAGCUCCGGCUAACUACGUGCCAGCAGCCGCGGUAAUACGUAGGGAGCAAGCGUUGUCCGGAUUUCUGGGUUGUAAAGGGUGCGUAGGCGGCACUGCAAGUCAGGCGUGAAAGCCGGAGGCUUAACCUCCGAACUGCGUUUGAAACUGUGGUGCUUGAGUGAAG
rnacentral:rRNA from 1 species